UGUGGUUUGGUUCUUCAGCAUUGCCUAAGCGCAUGUGCAAACUUUAGGGUCAGGCUUGCUGGAGGAAGGCGGCCGGCAGGGAGUGUGCCUGUGAAGUGUACAUCAUGAAGUGUUUUGUCCACUCACCGCCCCUCUCCCCCUCUCCCUUCUUCCUGGCUGCCAUGAGCUAAGAGGCUUCUGUGCUCCCCCACACCCCAGUUCAAAAGCAACGGAGUCAGCUGACCAUGGACUGAAAACUUUGAAAGCACCAGCAAGAUAAACCUGGCUUCCUUUACGUUGAUCCAGCUCAGACGUUUCAUCACAGGGGUUGGAAAACUGGCUGGCCACGAAACUGACGGCCUAUAGGGAGAGUCUCUGGCAUCGAAAGGUCACCACCCCUCGAGGGCACCUGGACAGACACGAACGGGAGUCGGAAGUUCCUAUAAAAAGUCCUUCAAGUUCCUGAGAGGUGACUUGGGUUUCUCUACCGUCUUCAGUCACAUGUCAGCAACACCAUAUCCUGUGACAGAGGUACCUGUAGAUCCAUGUUCAUUGCUGAUGUCCACAAAAUCUAGGAAAUGGAAUCAACCUAGAUAUUCACCAGCUGGCGACCGGAUAAUAAAAACGUGGUACAUACAA